rnacentral:rRNA from 1 species
UACGGGGGGAGCAAGCGUUGUUCGGAUUUACUGGGCGUAAAGGGUGCGUAGGAGGGCAGGUAAGUCAGUGGUGAAAUCUCCGAGCUUAACUUGGAACUGCCGUUGAUACUAUCUGUCUUGAAUACCGUGGAGAUGAGCGGAAUAUGUCAUGUAGCGGUGAAAUGCUUAGAUAUGACAUAGAACACCAAUUGCGAAGGCAGCUCACUACGCGAAUAUUGACACUGAGGCACGGAAAGCGUGGGGAUCAAACAGG